rnacentral:rRNA from 1 species
UACAGAGGUCCCGAGCGUUGUUCGGAUUCACUGGGUUUAAAGGGUGCGUAGGUGGGCAGGUAAGUCAGUGGUGAAAUCUCUGGGCUUAACCCGGAAACUGCCGUUGAUACUAUCUGUCUUGAAUAUAGUGGAGGUGAGCGGAAUAUGUCAUGUAGCGGUGAAAUGCUUAGAUAUGACAUAGAACAUCGAUUGCGAAGGCAGCUCGCUACACUAUGAUUGACACUGAGGCACGAAAGCGUGGGGAUCAAACAGG